GAUGAACGCUGGCGGCGUGCCUAAUACAUGCAAGUCGAGCGAACAGAUGAGGAGCUUGCUCCUCUGACGUUAGCGGCGGACGGGUGAGUAACACGUGGAUAACCUACCUAUAAGACUGGGAUAACUUCGGGAAACCGGAGCUAAUACCGGAUAAUAUAUUGAACCGCAUGGUUCAAUAGUGAAAGACGGUUUUGCUGUCACUUAUAGAUGGAUCCGCGCCGCAUUAGCUAGUUGGUAAGGUAACGGCUUACCAAGGCAACGAUGCGUAGCCGACCUGAGAGGGUGAGCGGCCACACUGGAACUGAGACACGGUCCAGACUCCUACGGGAGGCAGCAGUAGGGAAUCUUCCGCAAUGGGCGAAAGCCUGACGGAGCAACGCCGCGUGAGUGAUGAAGGUCUUCGGAUCGUAAAACUCUGUUAUUAGGGAAGAACAUAUGUGUAAGUAACUGUGCAGAUCUUGACGGUACCUAAACAGAAAGCCACGGCUAACUACGUG
rnacentral:rRNA from 1 species